rnacentral:pre_miRNA from 1 species
UUUAAGUGCAACCAUAAGUUUUCGCGUCUAACUUUGUAGUAAUUUUUUUAUUAGAUGAUAAAACAUGAACAGUAUUUUACUCGUGACUUAUGUUUUUAAAUUUUUUAAAUUUUCUUUUCAAAUAAGAUGACGAUCAAAAUUGAACGCGGAAAAUCAUGUUUGCACUUAAA